rnacentral:lncRNA from 1 species
CCAGCUUUUACGGAGGAGGCAUGGGAAAAGGACUGCCGUUCCACCCGUGGUGGUAGGGGGCCCCACGAUCCGCUUGGAAGCGCCGCCAUUUUGAGCCCCCACAACCUCAGCCUGAGAUGCCACCGUCGGGAUGGAGAAGUGCUGGAGAGAAGCGUCUCCCUUGAGCAACACUGGUCUAAACCCUCUUGGCUUUGCUCUCUUAGCUACCUGAGGGGGGUUUUGGGACAUUGGUGUGCAUUUUAUUCCUCUCCCGUUUUCUUACAAAGACGCAUUGGAAAAGGGAGGGGCUUUAUUACAUAUAUAAUAUACUUAUACAUAAAUAUAAAUACCUACAUACAUAUCUAGCUAUUGUAUAUGCAGUUUUAAUUCAAUUUUUAAAGAAAUACCCAGCUGCAUUUUAACAAGGACGGGGAUUAAAAAAAAAUUAUACCAACAGCAAUAAGAUAUCGAUGUCUAUGGAGCAGCUAAGAAUGAUUAAUAAUAAUAAUAAUAAUCUGCUUUUUCAAACAGAACUACCCAAUGUAAAAUUUAAAAAAAACCCAUAAAAACACUGUAAAUACUUCUUCUAUAGCUGUAUAAUAAGUGUAUAUGGAGUUUACUUUCUGAGGUCCUUUCUUCUUCUUCUUACUGAGCUGUUUUGUGUUACAACUUACGCUUUGAAAUGAAGAAAGGUUGAAAUUCGUUAGGGAAUAAAGCCCCAUCGCUGAGGAAUACAAAUUUAUUUUGGGAUUUCAAUGGGGGUUAAAAUCUUUUAGAAGAAACAAAAGAAUUCCGGUUUCAACGGAGGGACUCAAAACUGCAAUUUCUGAAUAGAUUUUAAAAUCGCCUGAGCGCAUUUUCGCCUCAGUCCCGCCACUGCUGCUAACCAAUUUGAUGACUUCCCUAUUUUAGACUUAUUUUUACUGUAAUUCAAUGUGCUUGCUUGUUUACAGAUGCCUGAGUGAGAGAAAAAGAGGGGAAAAGAGAAUGAUAACCCUUCACCCCUCUCUCUCCCUUUUUUUCCCACCUGGAAACAGAGAAAUAUUGUAACAUAAAGGGACUUUUAUUAAAGUAUGUAUAAAAAAAUAGCUAUGCUUAUAAAUACAUCUCAGUGACUGAAUGUACAGUUGUAUAGAACUCAUUAUCGCUAAUAAAAUUGUCCGGAAAAAUAAGUCCAAGCCCAGUAAAAAAGUAUGUUAUUUUACUAUUAAAAGAAAGUUUGCAUAAUCUCACCAAUCGCGUAUCCAUGUGGUUCAGAAAAACCAAUUGGGGGGCAUAAAUUGGAAUCGACAAUAAAUGGGUGUUUCUUGACUUUGGAAGACUAUCAAGGUAGUCCUCGACUUACUUUAGUGACCAUUCAAACUUAACAACGG